rnacentral:rRNA from 1 species
UACGUAGGCAGCAAGCGUUGUUCGGAGUUACUGGGCGUAAAGGGUGCGUAGGCGGCUUUUUAAGUUUGGUGUGAAAUCUCCCGGCUCAACUGGGAGGGUGCGCCGAAUACUGAGAGGCUAGAGUGUGGGAGAGGAAAGUGGAAUUCCUGGUGUAGCGGUGAAAUGCGUAGAUAUCAGGAGGAACACCGGUGGUGUAGACGGCUUUCUGGACCAUAACUGACGCUGAGGCACGAAAGCGUGGGUAGCAAACAGG